CAAUAUUGUUGAGUGUCCACAAGACAAGUUAGUUAUCACCUAAAAAAAACCUUACCUCUGAUUGUUACCUAGUACUACUGGAGACUCUUUCCAUAAAUGUUAGAUGUCCCCUAACAGAACAUGUCACCAUAGAAACAGUUAUACAUCUUACAUUGCUAAAUUUCAACACUUGUUAAGAUCAAAUUGUAUGAAGCAUCCAUUGUACAAGUCCCUGUAAAUGAACUGUUACUAUAGAAACAAUAAUGUAUUAUUAUACAGUGUGUAUUAAUAUAAUUCUGUAAUUUGGCUUGCAGCCAGAACUACUAAAUGAUCUGCACUUAUAUAGCGCUUUUAUCGAAAGCGCUUUACACUGUGUCUCAUUCACCCAUUCACACACACGGUAGCAGAGCUGCCAUGCAAGGCGCUAACUUGACAUCAGGAGCAACUUGGGGUUCAGUGUCUUGCCCAAGGACACUUCAGCAUGUGGAGUCACGUGGGCCGGGAAUCAAACCGCCAACCCUACGAUUAGUGGACAACCCGCUCUACCACCUGAUCCACAGCCGCCCAUCAUACCUUCUGACCAAUCAGAAUCCAGAAUUUGACAGAGCUGUGGUAUGUUCCUGUAUAUUACAUGUUACAAAAUGUACUAAUUUGGACACUCUACAGUCAACAAACCAUUUAUAGACCAUCAUCAAUAAGGCUAUCAACUAAUUUUAUACAAUUAUUCAAAUGUUAAUGGUUGUCUGCAUUUAGUAGGUAACCUACACACACUUUAUAAAGUAUCAAUUUGUACCUUUUUUCUCUCACUUUACUUGGAUGGCCCAUUUUAUAGCUCUUCAUAACACAAUAUGGAACAAGCAGUGAUUCAACCGCAGUUCCCAAAGAAGCCACAGGUGGGUAGAGUGUUGUGUGUUGCCAUGCCAACGCACAGAAUGACUGACUGACAGACCAUAGACAAACUGAGAUGACCUUCUAUCCAUCCGACCAGAUAAUCCUCCCCCAACCCUCUCCAAAAAAAAAAACAACGCAUCCCCCACCUCCCUCACUCCAUCCCAUCAGCCCCCUUCACUAGCUCUCACCUCCUCUGCCUCAUCGCCACUUUGUUGCCAUGGAAACAUGAAGAUGAAAAGAGUUACUCAUAGAUUAAAUGAGAGAUCUGAGGUACAAAAAAAGAACAGAGUUACAAGUCCUUUGAAUUAUGUUCUAUGAAUUUAUGUAGAUAUCAGCAUUUUUAGCUCAGCUGUGGGUCCUGUGCUGAUUUAUGAAAAGCUUUAGUGUGUGUGUAUGUGUGUGUGCAUGUGUGUGCAGAUUAACUCCCAGCAUUACAGAUCCCAGUGUUUUGUGCCUUUUGUUUGUGAUUAUGCAUUCAGUAGUACAAUUUUAAAAUGGUGUAGCAGGAACAUGAAAUAUGAUUUAGCACAGCUGUGGUACGAUUAAUGGAACCGAGAAGGCCGAAUAAUCUGUCACAGAGCGGUAUUCUGAGUGUAUGUGUGUAUGUGUGUGUGUGUUUUGAAAUGUUACUAUGUGUUACAUUGCAACAGACAUUGCACAGAUGAGUAAACCGAUGACAGAUAAACUGAUGACAUCAGAUUUUGCACAACUCAAAAUGAUGUGUGUGUGUGUGUGUGUGUGUGUGUGUAUGUACACAUCUUUUUUUUUUUUUUUUUGGCAUAACCAUAGACAUCCAUGGUUACUGUAGUAUGUCAUAGUCAUAUUACUACUACUAUGGUCAUUAUAGAAUCUUCUCUAAUAAACACAACCUCUUGAUGUUUGAGGAGUAUGAUAUGAUGUACAAAAAUGUGAGCUUUUGUAACACCACAUAUAGGUGGUACAAAGUAUCAUAACUGAGCUAACAAACCUUAAGUAUUGUAAAAAAAAAAUAAAAAAUAAAAAAAAUUAUGAAUUUCAAAUUCAUGAUGAAUACCAACCCAAUAUCUCAAUAAAAUAGAGCAACCAAUAACAGUGUUGUGACAGCUAACAUAAGUGGCACAUUUUGUAAGAAUUCUCAAAUCUGAUUGGUCAGAAGGUAUUGAUUAAUUUUCAAUAAC